rnacentral:rRNA from 1 species
UGGGGAAUAUUGGACAAUGGGCGAAAGCCUGAUCCAGCCAUGCCGCGUGUGUGAAGAAGGUCUUCGGAUUGUAAAGCACUUUAAGUUGGGAGGAAGGGCAGUAAGCGAAUACCUUGCUGUUUUGACGUUACCGACAGAAUAAGCACCGGCUAACUCUGUGCCAGCAGCCGCGGUAAUACAGAGGGUGCAAGCGUUAAUCGGAAUUACUGGGCGUAAAGCGCGCGUAGGUGGUUCGUUAAGUUGAAUGUGAAAGCCCCGGGCUCAACCUGGGAACUGCAUCCAAAACUGGCGGGCUAGAGUAGGGCAGAGGGGGGUGGAAAUUCCUGUGUAGCGGUGGAAUGCGUAAGUAUAAGGAGGAACACCAGUGGCGAAGGCGACCACCUGGGCUCAUACUGACACUGAGGUGCGAAAGGGUGGGGAGCAAACAGG